CGUGUAGGCGGCCUCUUAAGUCUGAUGUGAAAGCCCGGGGCUUACCCCCGGAAGGGCAUUGGAAACUGGGAGGCUAGAGUACCGGAGAGGAAGGUGGAAUUCCUGGUGUAGCGGUGAAAUGCGUAGAUAUCAGGAGGAACACCGGUGGCGAAGGCGGCCUUCUGGACGGAUACUGACGCUGAGACGCGAAAGCGUGGGGAGCAAACAGGAUUAGAUACCCUGGUAGUCCACGCCGUAAACGAUGGGCACUAGGUGUUCGGGGUAUUGACCCCCUGAGUGCCGCAGCUAACGCAUUAAGUGCCCCGCCUGGGGACUACGGCCGCAAGGUUAAA
rnacentral:rRNA from 1 species